rnacentral:rRNA from 1 species
AUUGAACGCUGGCGGCAUGCUUUACACAUGCAAGUCGAACGGCAGCGCGGGGGCAACCCUGGCGGCGAGUGGCGAACGGGUGAGUAAUGCAUCGGAACGUACCCUGUAAUGGGGGAUAACGUAGCGAAAGUUACGCUAAUACCGCAUACGCUCGAGAGAGGAAAGUGGGGGAUCGCAAGACCUCACGUUAUAGGAGCGGCCGAUGUCCGAUUAGCUAGUUGGUGGGGUAAAGGCCUACCAAGGCGACGAUCGGUAGCUGGUCUGAGAGGAUGAUCAGCCACACUGGGACUGAGACACGGCCCAGACUCCUACGGGAGGCAGCAGUGGGGAAUUUUGGACAAUGGGCGAAAGCCUGAUCCAGCCAUGCCGCGUGCGGGAAGAAGGCC